AGCACUGUGUCGUCGGCAAUUAAUUCUCAAGCUGCCAUUUUAUAUGUCGACGUAAUUGCUCCUCGCUAUAAGAGUGCGGAAGUGCACGUUGUGUGGAUUACACGGGCCAUAGCUUUGACUUUAGGUGUUGUAAUGACGGUAUACAGCACCGUAUGCCUGUACAUGGGAUCAAUAACAACGAUAUUUUUGAUGGUCAAUACCGGCUUGACGGCACCGUUCGUUGGAUUGUGUCUCCUUGGUGUUUUAUUUCCCUUCGUACACUCCAAGGGUGCGGGUGUGGCGACGCUCAUCAUGGUCGUUUAUCAGCUCAGCCACACGGCGAAUAUGAUGGUUCGUGGAAAGAGGCCACAAAGGAUGCCGGUGUCGCUUGACAGCUGCCCAGGAAAUCUCAGUCUGCGUGUGGAAGGCAUGAACAUCACAUCUUUGCAGGA